AUCUAUAUAAUAUAAAAAGUAUAUUUGACUUCCAAUCAUAAAGUCUAUUAAAUAGUAUAGAUAAC
rnacentral:tRNA from 1 species